rnacentral:rRNA from 1 species
UACGAAGGGAGCUAGCGUUGUUCGGAAUCACUGGGCGUAAAGCGCACGUAGGCGGAUGUGCCAGUCAGGGGUGAAAUCCCGGAGCUCAACUUCGGAACUGCCUCUGAUACAGCACGUCUUGAGUCCGGAAGAGGUGGGUGGAAUUCCUAGUGUAGAGGUGAAAUUCGUAGAUAUUAGGAAGAACACCGGUGGCGAAGGCGGCCCACUGGUCCGGUACUGACGCUGAGGUGCGAAAGCGUGGGGAGCAAACAGG